rnacentral:rRNA from 1 species
GGUGUAGGCGGCUUGGAAAGUGUCGCGUGAAAUCCAACGGCUCAACCGUUGAAUGGCGCGGCAAACUACCUGGCUUGAGGUCGGUAGAGGUGCCUGGAACUCUUGGUGGAGCGGUGAAAUGCGUAGAUAUCAAGAGGAACGCCGGAGGCGAAAGCGGGGCACUGGGCCGAUUCUGACGCUGAGACCCGAAAGCGUGGGGAGCAAACAGGAUUAGAUACCCUGGUAGUCC